GCCAUUAAAAAAAAAAGUAGAAAAGGCUGUGCUAUACAAAAUUAAGUUAAACGGAACAAUUCACCAAUUAAUUUCAUUCUAGAUUUCUUUUUAUUCUUUUUUACUCUUUACACCAUUAAUAACCUUUUGACUUCAAAAAAAUUCAAGAAUAUGUUAAAAAAACAAAUAAAUCUAAAAACAGCUAAUUAUUAAAACUUCAGAAGUCCAAUGCACGGUAAUCAUUAUAGUUAAGUUAAAGUAAUAGAAAAUACCAAAACCAGAGAUCUAAAAAUGAAAAAUAUUUGUGUGUUAAAUUCGAAC
rnacentral:misc_RNA from 1 species